CUGUAUGAAAGGAUACUGAAAAUUGGAAAGAUUGCUAAAUGUCGCCCUGAAAGGUGUUUCCUGUGGCCCAUGAAUCUCAUGCAAAAUCAUCCCCUUGGAGAAAAGCUUGGGACAAAUAGCUAGGCACCUGAGUCCCGGAGCUCUGGUGGUUUUGCCCAGGGCCAGCCAGGAGACACAGUGUGGUAGUGUGCUCCUCAAGGCAUCUGUGACCUGCUCUCCUCAGCUCAGAGAAAGCCAGCGUGGCGUUUGAGGGAACAACCUCAGCUCCAAAGGGAACGCUGACAAAGGGGGCAGUCCAGCCCUGGGCAGGGUCAGACCCCAGCACCCACAAACACCAGGCAGGCCCAGGCUAGGAUCACAGGAGCGGGAGUAGGAGUGAUGGAGUAACAGCUCGUCUCCACGCUCCCAGCAUUCAUUCCCUCAUCCUCUGGUAGGCACACUACUUCUACGUGGUGGGGAAAAUGGCACUUGGAAAAUUCAGUUUCAAUGGUCCUUUCAGAGCUACAGCAUCUGUCUCUCAAUGUCUAUGUUAAUUCCUCUAAAAGGACUCAGACCUGAUGUGGCUCCCAGCCUUCUUGGACCCCUCCUAUCUGUGGUACUGAUGGGUACAGAACUCACACACCCUACCCUGGGUGUGAGUAAGAGCAUGGGCCUUGUAAUCUUGGCUUGUUUGGAAAGAGGAAGGGGAAAUUCCAGAAGUGAAGGUCAUAACAGUUUUCUGUCAGAUGGGGUGGUGGCUCAAAGCAGAGGUUAUGAGCCUGAGUAUGUAGCUCCAUCACCCAGUGUGAACUUGGGCAAGUCCUUACCUUUUCCCCUCUGCAUCCUCUCCAUCCACUUCCCUCACUGACAUUCCAAAACACACACACACACAUACACACACACACACACACACACACAUUUUUAUUUUAAGACAAUUGUUGAUUCACAUGCAGUUUUAAGAAAUGCUAGAGAUCACAGACCAGGCACAGUGGCUCAUGCCUGUAAUCCAGGCACUUUGGGAGGUCGAGGCAGGUGGAUCACUUGAGGUCAGGAGUUCGAGACUAGCCUGGCCAAUGUGGCGAAACCCCAUCUCUACUAAAAAUACAAAAAUUAGCUGGGAGUGUUGGCAUGCACCUGUAAUCCCAGCUACUCAAGUGGCUGAGGCAGAAGAAUUGCUUGAACAUGGGAAGCGGAGGUUACAGUGAGCCGAGAUCGCACCACUGCACUCCGGACUGGGCAACAGAGUGAGACUCUGUCAAAGAAUGAAAGAAAGAAAAAGUAAUAAUAGAGAUCACAGAGCACUUUACUCAACUUUCCCCAUAGUAACAUCUUGCAUACAUGUAGUACAAUAUCACAACCAGGAAAUUGACAUUGAUACCAUCCACCAAUCUUAGAUUUUGCCAGCUUUACAUGCACUCAUGUGAGCUUGUUUGUGUGUUUAGUUCUAUGUAGUUUCAUCAUGUGCACAGAUUUGUGUGGCCACCGCCACAGUCAAGAUCUACCACCAAGAGGUCUGUUGUGCUGUCCUUUUAUUGCAACAUCUACCUGCCUCCCUCCCCUACUCUCUGAUCUGCAGCGAUCAUUAAUCUGGUCUUCAUUUAUAAUUUUGUAAUUUCAAGAAUGCUAUAGAAAUGGAAUCAUACAGUAGGUAACCUUUCAGGCCUGGCUUUUUCUUUCACUCAGCAUAAUUCCCUUGAGAUCCAUCCAAAUGGUUGCAUGUAUCAAUAGCUUGUUCCUUUUUAUUGCUGACUAGUAAUUCAUAGUAUGGAUGUUCCACUGUUUAACUGUUUGCUUUUUGAAGGACAUUUGGAUUGUUUCCAAUUAUUGGCUGUUAUGAAUAAAGCUGCUAUGAACGUUCAUGUACAGGCUUUCGUGUGAAUGUAAGUUUUC
rnacentral:lncRNA from 10 species